GCUCAGGAUGAACGCUGGCGGCGUGCUUAACACAUGCAAGUCGAACGAAGCACUUUGAUCGAUUUCUUCGGAUUGAAAUUUUAGUGACUGAGUGGCGGACGGGUGAGUAACGCGUGGGUAACCUGCCUCACACAGGGGGAUAACAGUUGGAAACGGCUGCUAAUACCGCAUAAGCGCACAGUACCGCAUGGUACAGUGUGAAAAACUCCGGUGGUGUGAGAUGGACCCGCGUCUGAUUAGCUAGUUGGCAGGGCAACGGCCUACCAAGGCGACGAUCAGUAGCCGACCUGAGAGGGUGACCGGCCACAUUGGGACUGAGACACGGCCCAAACUCCUACGGGAGGCAGCAGUA
rnacentral:rRNA from 1 species